rnacentral:lncRNA from 1 species
UGGAGCGUGUCUUUUGAUGUAAUUUUAAGUGAAAUGAAACUUAAUCCAACGACGCGACGAUUCAUCCUGCUUGACAGUUGAACAAAUGUCAGCCAUGUUGCGUAAACCAAAUUUUUGUGCGGCUGCAGCUGAGGCUCGAUCUUUCUGAAAAAUCAACUUAAAUUUGUCCGGAAAUAAUAUCCAUCAUUCAUUGAUGACAUUUAUUUGGAAAUAACAAAGAUGCUUUUCCUUCCGUCGGAAUUCUUUCUGGAAUGUGCGCUUUGGCCAGGCCGAAGUGAACUAUGAUGCUGAUGAAGACCGGAUCAGAUCAGCCGGCUAGUCAAGACCUGUUACCAGUUCAGCCCGGUGAGGACAAAAAGUGGCACGAGAGAACUGAUUGCAAGUGGACCUCCGGGGAAUCGUCGGGAAUUCGGAGACGGGGUGCGAGGGAUUUCAGUGAUCAAAAUAAAACGGAAAAACAAAAGUGUUGUGAGUCAAAGUGAUGAAUAAUACAAUUAUUGUGAUGAGUUUAAUACAAUUCUUGUUAUGUUCAAUAAAAAUACCGAUAAAAUCGAAUAUAAA